GAUGAAGAACGCAGCGAAAUGCGAUAAGUAAUGUGAAUUGCAGAAUUCAGUGAAUCAUCGAAUCUUUGAACGCACCUUGCGCCUCUUGGUAUUCCGAGAGGCAUGCCUGUUUGAGUGUCAUUUUCACCCCUCAAGCUUUGCUUGGUGUUGGGGCCUGCUGUAAUAGGCAGCCCUUAAAAUCAGUGGCGGUGCUUCAAGGCUCUAAGCGUAGUAAUUCUCCUCGCUAUAGUGCCUAGUGGUUGCCAGCCAGAACCCCUCAUUUUUCAUGAUUGACCUCGGAUCAGGUAGGGAUACCCGCUGAACUUAAGCAUAUCAAUAAGCGGAGGA
rnacentral:misc_RNA from 1 species